GUCCGGUUAUUAUCUUUAUAUUAUUUUAAUGAAGUGAAAUAAUCCUUUUUAAAUCUAUAACUAGUUAUAAUAGCCCGUGUCCAUACACUACUUACUGCACAGGCUUUAUUGAAGCAUAUUGUAUAAUACAUAAGUUGCGUACCAAGUACUAGUCAUGUAACUAUAUACUGUAUCAAUAAACUCGGCUAUGUAUAGAGUAAGAUUACUAUCAUUUUAAUAUAAAUAUGGUGAACUCCGCUAGCAAUAUAUAAU